UUGACCUCGGAUCAGGCAGGGAUACCCGCUGAACUUAAGCAUAUCAAUAAGCGGAGGAAAAGAAACCAACAGGGAUUGCCUCAGUAACGGCGAGUGAAGCGGCAACAGCUCAAAUUUGAAAUCUGGCUCUUUUAGGGUCCGAGUUGUAAUUUGUAGAGGAUGCUUCGGCGUANGCUCCGGUCUAAGUUCCUUGGAACAGGACGUCAUAGAGGGUGAGAAUCCCGUAUGUGAUCGAUUGCCUUUGCCAUGUGAAGCUCCUUCGACGAGUCGAGUUGUUUGGGAAUGCAGCUCUAGAUGGGAGGUAAAUUUCUUCUAAAGCUAAAUACUGGCCAGAGACCGAUAGCGCACAAGUAGAGUGAUCGAAAGAUGAAAAGCACUUUGGAAAGAGAGUCAAAAAGUACGUGAAAUGGUUGAAGGGGAAACGCUG
rnacentral:rRNA from 1 species